AACAGUAGAAUCUGUGACGAGAGCCCACCGGGCCGGCACCAGUCAGACUCGAGACUACCAUUCUACAAGCUAUCACAAGAGUGUUGUGGGCUUGUGGCGCAGCAGCAGACGGACGCCAGGUUUUUUUCCUUUUAGACCGCAACCUCAAAACCCUAGCUUGUCCCUCCUGCUCCCAGAUCUCUUCCACUCGGCCACUCCCUAGCACAUCAAACCCUAGCUCCGCCCAGCCCCCAACCAUGUCGGCGAUGAUGCAACCGCAGAUCAUCCUGCUCAAGGAGGGCACGGACACGUCGCAGGGGCGCGCUCAGGUGGUGAGCAAUAUCAACGCGUGCACGGCGGUGGGCGACACCGUGCGGACCACGCUGGGGCCUCGGGGGAUGGACAAGCUCAUCCACGACGACAAGGGCGGAGUCACCAUCUCCAACGACGGCGCCACCAUCAUGCGCCUCCUCGACAUCGUGCACCCCGCCGCCAAGAUCCUUGUCGACAUCGCCAAGUCGCAGGACUCCGAGGUCGGCGAUGGGACAACUACUGUGGUGCUUCUAGCUGCAGAAUUCUUAAAGGAAGCAAAACCUUAUAUCGAGGACGGGGUGCACCCCCACAGUCUAAUUCGCAGUUAUAGAACUGCAGGCAAUAUGGCAAUCCAAAGGGUUAAAGAGCUGGCAGUUAGCAUAGAAGGAAAAAGCCUUGAAGAGAAGAAAUCACUGCUAGCCAAGUGCGCUGCUACAACACUCUCUUCAAAACUUAUAGGUGGUGAAAAAGAAUUCUUUGCUUCUAUGGUUGUGGAUGCUGUCCUUGCCAUUGGCAAUGAUGACAGGCUUAAUCUUAUUGGGAUUAAAAAGGUUCCUGGAGGUACCAUGAGAGACUCUUUUUUGGUGAAUGGUGUUGCGUUCAAGAAGACGUUUUCAUAUGCAGGAUUUGAGCAACAACCAAAGAAGUUCCUUAAUCCAAAGAUUCUUUUGUUAAACAUUGAACUAGAAUUGAAAUCUGAGAAGGAAAAUGCAGAGAUCAGAUUGUCUGACCCUCUGCAAUACCAAUCAAUUGUUGAUGCUGAGUGGAACAUUAUUUAUGACAAACUGGAUAAAUGUGUGAAAAGUGGAGCAAAGAUAGUUCUGUCUCGGCUAGCUAUUGGUGAUCUUGGAACACAGUAUUUUGCAGAUCGAGACAUUUUCUGUGCUGGCCGUGUCACUGAAGAAGAUUUGCAACGUGUUGCUGCAGCAACUGGUGGAACUGUUCAAACUUCUGUAAAUAAUGUCAUCAAUGAUGUACUCGGUUCCUGUGAGGUAUUCGAGGAAAAGCAAGUAGGCAAUGAAAGAUUCAACAUAUUUAGUGGCUGCCCUUCUGGCCAGACAGCGACUAUUGUUCUCCGUGGUGGUGCAGACCAGUUCAUUGAGGAAGCUGAACGAAGUCUCCAUGAUGCCAUCAUGAUUGUGAGGAGAGCACUUAAGAACUCGACAGUUGUGCCGGGUGGUGGUGCUAUUGAUAUGGAAAUAAGCAAGUAUCUCAGGCAGCAUGCACGAACAAUUGCUGGGAAGUCUCAGUUCUUUGUAAAUUCAUUUGCUAAAGCCCUUGAGUGUUCUUAUGGCGUCGCCUAGGCGUCCAGGCGCCCGGGCAAAACUGGUCGCCUUGCUCGCCAUUCCCGCCUAGGCGUCGCCUAGGCGCCGCCUAGGCGCUAAGGCGCCUGUCUGAUCCACUUGCUCGCCUAGGCGCCUUAAGAACACUGGUUGUGCAAGGUAGAGUCCACUCAUUUAACCAUUUUCAAUAAAACCAUCCUGCAGGUUAUUCCACGCCAACUUUGCGAUAAUGCUGGAUUUGAUGCCACUGACGUUCUCAAUAAGCUGAGGCAGAAACAUGCAUCUGGUGAAGGUGCUAAUUAUGGUGUAGACAUAAACACUGGCGGAAUUACUGAUUCCUUUGCAAACUUUGUUUGGGAACCUGCUGUUGUAAAGAUCAAUGCUAUAAAUGCUGCAACCGAAGCUUCCUGCCUUAUUCUUAGCGUCGACGAGACAGUGAAAAACCCAAAGUCGGAGAGCGCACAAGGUGAGGCUGCUGCCGGUGCGAUGGCUGGUCGCGGUCGAGGUGCAAUGCGAGGACGUGGUGGCAGGGGCAUGCGCAGGCGAUAAACUGGGUCAAGUAGAUCAUGGUGAGAUUUUUUUGCAUGUUUGCGAGUGCUUUUGUGCCUUACUGCACAUGUAUGGACGCUGCACUUACUAUUGUGCGCUUUUGGUUGUGAAGCAGUCGUAGACUUUUUUUUUGUUUCAGAAGAGAUGCACCAGGCGUUUAUCAGUGUACCGUCCGCUGGAUGUGUUAUAGUAGACCUGAGCUUUGGAUUCUAAUUUGUUUGACAUUUAUCUUGGUUUAUUGGCUUGUCUUUUGAACAAUGAGAAAAUCAGUGUUGUAGUUUGCGAUC